AGAACGAACGCUGGCGGCAUGCCUAACACAUGCAAGUCGAACGAGACCUUCGGGUCUAGUGGCGCACGGGUGCGUAACGCGUGGGAAUCUGCCCUUGGGUUCGGAAUAACAGUUGGAAACGACUGCUAAUACCGGAUGAUGACGUAAGUCCAAAGAUUUAUCGCCCAGGGAUGAGCCCGCGUAGGAUUAGCUAGUUGGUGAGGUAAAGGCUCACCAAGGCGAUGAUCCUUAGCUGGUCUGAGAGGAUGAUCAGCCACACUGGGACUGAGACACGGCCCAGACUCCGUACGGGAGGCAGCAGGUGGGGAAUAUUGGACAAGUGGGACGAAAGCC
rnacentral:rRNA from 1 species